UACAGAGGGUGCUAGCGUUGUUCGGAAUCAUUGGGCGUAAAGGGCGUGUAGGCGGUUUGUUAAGUCAUGUGUGAAAUCCCUCGGCUCAACCGGGGAACGACGCAUGAAACUGGCAGCUAGAGUACCAAAGAGGGGGGUGGAAUUCCCGGUGUAGCGGUGAAAUGCGUAGAUAAUCGGGAGGAACACCUGUGGCGAAGGCGGCCCCCUGGUUGGAUACUGACGCUGAGACGCGAAAGCCGUGGGGAGCAA
rnacentral:rRNA from 1 species